CCAGCUCCAACCCUGCAGCUGGGAGAGGAGCCCCAGCCCCGGGAGUCCCAGGUGUUCCCAUUCUGUGAUCAGCACAGAACACACACACCUCACCAUGGAGUUUGUGCUGGGCUGGGUUUUCCUGGUUGCUCUUUUAAAAGGUGUCCUGUGUGACGAGCAGCUGGUGGAGUCUGGAGGAGACCUGGUGAAGCCUGGGGGGUCCCUGAGACUCACCUGUGUGGCCUCUGGAUUCACCUUCAGUAGCUACUACAUGCACUGGGUCCGCCAGGCUCCAGGGAAGGGGCUGCAGUGGGUCGCACGCAUUUAUACUGAUGGAAGUAGUACAAACUACGCAGACUCCGUGAAGGGCCGAUUCACCAUCUCCAUAGACAAGGCCAAGAACACGCUGUAUCUGCAGAUGAACAGCCUCAAGACCGAGGACACGGCCACAUAUUACUGUGCAAGAGACACAGUGAGGGGACCUCACUGGGAGCCCAGACACAAACCUCCCUGCAGGUAG